rnacentral:lncRNA from 1 species
GUAGGGUCUGACCAAUGUGGAGCUGGAAUGAGGCUUAUCACGCAACUCACGUACUUCAGGACACUUCAAUGAACAUGGUCAGAGAGCACAACCACACGAAAGACCUUAGUGCGGGUUGAUGACAGCCCCUCAGGCUCUGCCUUUUAUUUUUUUAUUUUUAUUUUUUUAAAAUAACAACUGCUAGUCCAGACCACUUAUGCAGGUUAUUUUUUAGACUUAAGAUAUUUCGCUCUGUUAAGUUUUAAUCUUUUUGGUAUCUUGGUUUUUGUUGUUUCUUUGCUCGUGUCAUUCACUGUACUUUUUUCCCCCAGCUCCAAGCCAAUGAUAAAAAUGUCAAAUACACCCUGUCACAUAAUCAGGCAGUUUGGUCCACAAGGAGAUCACGGUAACAUCCAUUUUCCUAACCCAAUACCCUAUUGACCCUAACAGAGCACAAAUAAAGAAGCAGUUCAGAGUCAAAGGUGAGGCCCCAAAAGAGAAUGCUGAGAUCAUAAAGUUCUCACAAACCAUCUCUUUAAGUAAGAAUCCAUCAUAGGCUUUCCCCCAAGAUCAGCAUUGCAUUCAAUAGGUUAUAGCAUCCAUAUUUCCCUCCUUUUGAAAAUCUGCCCACCACUGAUCCUCUCUCACUACAUGCCAGUUCGCUACAACUACUUACCUAUGAGGGGUGAUUUUCAUGGCAGGCUCUCUUUGGACCCAAGGAAAUAAUCUGGCCAGGCCAGGAUACAAUUCAUUCAGCCCAACUAUGUGCUCACUGAUUUCUCUACUCUUGUUAGGCUUCGAUCCCUACUUAGCAAUGGCUGUUUUAUAUGUCACCAUUUAAUUCACUCUCACACAUAAGGGAUAAUUUCAGAGUUAAAGUUACCCUCACUAUAAAAAUUCAGCAGCCAAACAGACACUUGCAUUAACAAGUUGACUAUUUUUUUUCUUUUUAAUUUUCAUUACUGAAUGCUUAAGGCCUAAAUCAGAUCUUUAUUCUCCGGAAUACUAGUCAAACUCUAAAAGCAAUUUAAAAUUACCUUUUGGUUUGCAGUUCAAUGUUAGCUGCAUCCAUUUCAUUCAGUAAAUGACAUGGAACCCCAUAUCUUGGAUUAGCUCGAGCUGUGAACAAAAUUUUUCAUUAACUUGUGUUGGCUAAAUGAAAUCUGGUUGCUGGAAGAGGUAGCAUGAAGACUAGGAAGGACUGUCCUAGGAGCUAGGAAAGCUGCUACUAAUUAGCUGUGUGAAUACGAAUUUUCUCAGGAUCUCAGUUUUCCCAUCUGAAAAAUGAAAAAGUUAGAACAAAUGAAAAGUAAACAUUUCUUUAAGACAAGCUAGAAGAAUUCCAUUUUUUCAACUCUUUUAAGUAUACUUUUUAAAAAGAACACCCAGAUUUUCAUCUUUUUUUUUUCUUUUUCUUUUUCUUUUUUUUUUUGAGACGGAGUCUCACUUUGUCGCCCAGGCUGGAGUGCAGUGGCGCAAUCUUAGCUCACUCUGCCUCCCAGGUUCAAGCAAUUCUCGUGCCUCAGCCUCUGAGUAGCUGGGAUUACAGGCUCCUGCCACCACGCCUGGCUAAUUUUUGUAUUUUUAGCAGAGACAGGGUUUCGCCAUGUUGCCCAGGCUGGUUUUGAACUCCUGGCCUCAAGUGAUCUGCCCGCCUCAGCCUCCCAAAGUGCUGAGAUUAAAGGCAUAAGCCACCACGCCUGGCCUCAGAUUUUCAUCUUGAUUACAAAUACAAUAAAUGACUACUGUAAAAAUUCUGGAAUUUUUUUAAGUGUAAAAGAAAUAGAUACUGCUCAUAAUUUCACUCCCAAGACACACACACACACACACACACACAGGCACACACACAAACACACACAAUUUUAAAAACUGGGAUAAUAUUCAACAAAUCUAUUUUCAUUUCAUACACUGUAUUUUCCAAAGUCUUAAAUAAAUGAUUACAUAGUAGUCCAUUCUAUAAGGAGCAUAAUUAACCUAACCAAUCUUUUUCUGUUAGACAUUAAGGUGAUUUCCAAUUAAUCACUAUUUUAAAAUAGUAGGAACAAUAAACAUCUUUGAGCAUCAACAUUCAUAUACAGCUCUGAUUACUUUAAGACAAACUUGUGAAAGUAGAAUUACUGGUUUAAACGGUAUGACAGUUUCAAGGCUUUUAAAUACACAUACUCAAACUGAUUGUAUUCCAUACCUACCAGCUCUGGAGGAAAUGUCACCUGUUGAAACCCAAGAGUCACAGAAAUAGUAUCUGAUUUGGUGGGGCAUCUCACUAAUGUUCAUCUCAUUGCCAUUCUUCUUCUUCUUUUUGAUUACAGGUUAAAUUGAAAAUUUUUUGAAACACAGGAAUCUUCUUUUUGUAAAUUGCUUAUUUAUAUCAUUUCCCCAAUUUACUACUGAGCACAAUGAAAUAUAUGUAAGCGCACUCUACAGAUAGGGGAAAUUAAUUUGUCAUAUAUUUUACUGUUUUCCAUUAGCUUGUCAUUUGCCUUUUAAUUCUGUUUUAAGGGUUAUAUCACUUUGCCCUAGUUUUUUCUUUCUUUGCUUUUAGCAAAUUCUCCCUCAGUCUUCUCUUCUUCAGUUUUUAUUACUUUAUUUCUCCAGGUGAAUUUUAGAAUCAUUUUAUAAAUUCUAUCCCUUCAUUCCCAAAAAAGUACACCUAGAUUUUUUGUUGGAUCUUUGUUCAAUUCCUAAGCUAACAAGAAAACUGUCAUUUACAUAUUCCAAUUACGUACACACUAAAAUUCAAUUCUGUGAAAAAGACUAAUACUCCAUUUGAAGAUAUUCUUUUUCUGAUAGUAUAUAUUUCUAUAACUGUGAAUUCUGAUACACAAUAUUUUUACCAGAACCAUUUCCAUAUCUUUUUUUCCUCCCAGAAAAAUACAAAGCCUUUUUCAUUAACAGCAUAGUUAUGUAACUGUUUUAGAUCUGGAAAGUUAAUUUCCUUUGAUUCACAUGCAAAUUAGUAACUGCUUUAUUCUUAUUCUUCAUAAAAAUGAUGGUUAUUCUCAUUCUCUAAGAACAAUAUUCUCAUCUCUAAUAAUAGAUAUGUCUCAAUCUAUAAAGCUUUUCUCACUGGGGUUUUUAACUUUUGAGCGGACUUUGAGAAGUGAUCGAAAAAUCUUACUAGGCCUCAUGCCUGUAAUCCCAGUGAGGCAGGAGAAUAGGGUCUGGAGACAGGGAACCUAAGGCUGUUUCACACCGACUUCCUAGAACUAAAUUGAAAGGAACACCCUAACUUUCCAUUCCUAAGUAACACAAGGACCAGAGGCUACUUCCUUUGACCUUUUCUGCGCACACAUAGGAAAUUGGCUGACCCCAACGAAUCAGACAGUGGGUGGAGUCUUCGUUUGCAACUCUGUAACCAUUUCAGCCUCUGAAUGGUUGCUGUUGGCAACAAAUAAGACUGAGCAACAAAUCAGACUGAUUGCUGGUAGGGUCUUCGUUUGCAUCUUUGCAACUUCACUCCAGCCUCUGAAUGGGUGUUGCCUGCAGCCAAUCAGACUGAUUGCCAGCUAUGUCUUCGUUUGCAAAUAAGUGUAACGUUGUAACUUCAACCUAGCCUCUGAUUGGUUGCUUUCUGCAACCAAUCAGAUGUUUGCACAUGAUAGUGACCUUUGUAACUUCACUUCAGCCUCUGGUUGGCUGCUUUCUGCAACCAAUCAGACUGAUGGCGGGCUCCCAAUUCAUUUACAUGAGGUGAGCAUGAAGUGGCCAAUGGGAAACUUCUAGGGGAUAUUUGGACCGGAGAAGAUUCUGUAUCUGGGCCCUUGAGCUGCUGCUCAGGCUGCUUCCACACUGUGGAGUGUACUUUUGUUUUCCAUACAUCUCUGCUUUUGGUCUUUUGUUGCUUCAUUCUUUGCUUUGCUGGGCGUUUUGUCUAAUUCUUUGUUCGAAAUGCCAAGAACCUGGACAACUUGCACUCAUGACCCUCUACCGAUGACACCAGCAUUUUGGGAGGCUGAGGUGUGAGCAUCAUCUGAGGCCAGGAGUUCAAGACCAACCUGGGCAAUACAGCGAGACCCUGUCUCUAAAAAAAUGAAAAAAUUAGCCAGGUGUGGCAGCAUGUACUUGUAGGCCUAGCUACUAAGGGAAGAGAAUCACUUGAGCCCAGGAAUUAGAGGCUGCAGUGAACAAUCAUGCCACUGCACUCCAGCCUGGACGAGAGAGUGAGGCUGCAUCUCUAAAAAUAAAUAAAUGAAUAAAUAAACAAAAAGUCUUAUUGAGAAACAGGAAAAUAAAGGAGAAGAUAUGAAAAGAUAUAAAUAAAGGAUAAAUAAUAGAAAUAAAAGAUAUAAAUAAGCAGAAAAUAAAGGAGAAGAUAUAAAAGAAUCAGGAAAAUAAAGGAGAAGAUAUAAAAAUAAGACCAGGGCCACUUAAAAUUCAAAGGCAACAUAUGGCUGAAUGACAGAGCCAAGUCUGAGCAUAUGGCAAUCGCACUCAAGUUUGCCAACACAAGAAGGUUUUAUGCUAUCCAAGGAAAUCCAAUUUUGAAAAUGUAAUGAUGAUCUUACAUUAUUACAGGGUAGAAAAUUAAAGAGAAGUAUAUAAUCUUUAUAAAAUGACAAAUUGUUAGAUUUCAUUUGGCAUAAUAUAGUUCUUGUUAGCUUUAAAAUAUUUAAAAAUGUUCCAAGAGUAAACCUUUUUUUAAAAGAAUAAAAAUUCAAACAGCAUUCCAUGUUUAUCUUCUAAAGCCAUUAACUGAAACAAAUAGGAACAUUUUUCUUUCCAUACCUUCAGGGGGUCUCUGCAACUGGGAUUUCCGAUAAAACAACAUGUAGGCACUUUCUUUACCCU